UUGUCCCAUUAUGGGCCUAACCCUAACGAUCAUUAUUUCUCUCUUUGCUCUCCACUGAUCAUCAAAGAUUAAUUUGGUUUUGCUUUCCUAACAACCCAAUCAUGAUGAAGUGAUCUUUCAGACUCGAUCGGUUAACCCUAAUCUUAAUGAUAUAAUUCCCAUCUGUAACCAACCAAAUUCCCCAAAGAUCGAUCUUAUGUUUCACAACAAACAGACAAGGAGUCGGCGGCAUAACCCACCUGGUCUGCAAGAAGAUAACGACGAUGUUCAAAAGAAGCUGAUCCGAAGGUACACAGAAAGACAGAGGAGGCAAGAAAUGGCGGAUCUUUCUGCUUCUCUCAGAUCCUUGCUCCCUCUCGAUUACAUCAAGGGGAGGCGAUCGAUAUCAGAUCACUUAAAUGAGGCUGCCAAAUACAUCAAACAACUACAAAAUAGGAUCGAGGAACUGAGUGGUAAGGGGAACAAGCUAAGGAUGAUGUACAGCAUGAAUGUUGAUAACCCUGAGAUUUCAACCUUAACCAAAGCCACAACUGACCCACCAACGAAUGUUAUUACUGUUACUCGAAGUUUGGCUGGGGUUGAGGUUGUUUUCGGCACAGCUCAAAUGUUUCCUCUAUCAAAACUGCUGGAUUUACUAUUCAAAGAGGGCUUAAGAGUUCUUAAUUGUGUUUGCACAAAAGUAGAAGGAAGGCAGAUCUACAUCAUCCACACUGAGGUUUCUGAUCUAAUUGGGAUCGAACCCUCUGCAUUAAUUACAAAGGAAACUAGCAGAAUCAAUUCCUUCAAGAUACGGAAACUAGUUUCAGCUUGAAGACUCAUCGAAGAUAUAAAGGUGCUGAAUCUUCAAGGUUUCUCCAUUUAUGCAAAAGAAGUACGGAAGAGGAAAAAAAGAGAAAUUGUAUGCUAUAUAGAAAGGGAAGGGACUAGGCAAAAACUCGAAGACUAAGAUUGGAGUCUUUGUUCAAUGCUUUCCUUUCCACCAAAACAAGGAGUCUUCCAUUUUAUAUACCCACUAAUGUCCCAGAACAAGAUAUUGCAGACCAUCGAGAUCUGAUUCUUGGCCACCAAAUCACUUGAAGGGAGUGAUCCUGCCACAACCUACCACAAUGAGCAGAGGGAAGAAGCAUCAUAUUACACUGCCUUCUUCCGACAAUAAUCAUGAUGAUGAGAAGAAGAUCAUUCGUAGGGAAACUGAAAGGAACAGAAGGCUGCAAAUGACCUCCCUUUGUGAAUCACUCCGAUCUCUGCUGCCUUUUGAGCUCAUCAAGGGAAAGCGUUCAGUGUCCGAUCACAUAGGAGAGGCUGCGAGUUAUAUCAAAGAGUUGAAGGAGAAAACCCGAGAACUCGAAAUUAAGAGAGAUAUGCUCAAACAAAAUGCUAAUCCAAGUUUGCUUGGCGGUGCUGGAAUAGAUGAAAGCUCAAGCCAUUCAAAUGCUGUCAAAUGUGUAAGCAUUUCGCCUUUUCCGGGUGGCGUCGAAAUUUCUGCAGACAGUGGCUUGGAGGAAAACAGUUUUCCACUGUCAUUCUUGGUGGAAAUAUUGAUGCAAGAAGGAUGUAAUGUUGUAAGCUGUGUGUCCACCCAAGUGAAUGGGAGGCUAUACCACUCCAUUAAGUCUGAGGUACUAACAAAUAAGCAAUUUUUGACUAGGGUAGGGUUUCUUGGCCAGACAUUUAAUUAAAGUAAAAAUUAAAAAUUCAAUGAAUUUCUAGAUCAAUUCUUGAACAGGUGGAUAACUUGGAAAGCCUUGAUAUAGCUGGGCUGGAACAGAAACUGAAUGAUGCAAUCUUGUGGUGAAGGUGUAAGUUGGAGUGAUAUGGAUUUGCUUUGAGAGUGCUUUUUCUGCUUUGUGAGCACGAUCGAUCUGCAUAUGUAAUAUAAUUCUGGAUUGUUAGCUA